rnacentral:rRNA from 1 species
UACAGAGGGUGCGAGCGUUGUCCGGAAUCACUGGGCGUAAAGGGCGCGUAGGCGGCUUGGUAAGCGUGCGGUGAAAGCCCGGGGCUCAACCCCGGGUCGGCCGUGCGAACUGCUGGGCUGGAGCACUGUAGAGGCAGGUGGAAUUCCCGGUGUAGCGGUGGAAUGCGUAGAGAUCGGGAAGAACAUCGGUGGCGAAGGCGGUCUGCUGGGCCGUUGCUGACGCUGAGGCGCGACAGCGUGGGGAGCAAACAGG